rnacentral:rRNA from 1 species
AGUGAACGCUGGCGGUAGGCCUAACACAUGCAAGUCGAACGGCAGCACAGUAAGAGCUUGCUCUUACGGGUGGCGAGUGGCGGACGGGUGAGGAAUACAUCGGAAUCUACUUUUUCGUGGGGGAUAACGUAGGGAAACUUACGCUAAUACCGCAUACGACCUACGGGUGAAAGCAGGGGAUCUUCGGACCUUGCGCGAUUGAAUGAGCCGAUGUCGGAUUGGCUAGUUGGCGGGGUAAAGGCCCACCAAGGCGACGAUCCGUAGCUGGUCUGAGAGGAUGAUCGGCCACACUGGAACUGGGACACGGUCCAGACUCCUACGGGAGGCAGCAGUGGGGAAUAUUAGACAAUGGGCGCAAGCCUGAUCCAGCCAUACCGCGUGGGUGAAGAAGGCCUUCGGGUUGUAAAGCCCUUUUGUUGGGAAAGAAAAGCAGCAGGUUAAUACCCCGCUGUUCUGACGGUACCCAAAGAAUAAGCACCGGCUAACUUCGUG